GCCGAAGUGGUGGAAUUGGUAGACACGCUAUCUUGAGGGGGUAGUGCCUGACCGGGUGUGCGGGUUCGAAUCCCGCCUUCGGCA
rnacentral:tRNA from 1 species